rnacentral:rRNA from 1 species
UACAGAGGUCCCGAGCAUUGUUCGGAUUCACUGGGCGUAAAGGGUGCGUAGGUGGUGAGGAAAGUCGGAUGUGAAAUCUCCGGGCUUAACCCGGAAAUGGCAUUGGAAACUACCUUGCUAGAGGUUUUGAGGGGGACUGGAAUUCUCGGUGUAGCAGUGAAAUGCGUAGAUAUCGAGAGGAACACCGGUGGCGAAGGCGAGUCCCUGGAAAACACCUGGACACUGAGGCACGAAAGCUAGGGAGCAAACAGG